GGACGCAUGUUCCAAGGGCAGGCGAGGCUGCCUUGCAAGCAGCUUGCGAUGGGUUCGAUUCCCAUCGUCUCCA
rnacentral:tRNA from 1 species